rnacentral:rRNA from 1 species
GGAUAACUUCAGGAAACGUGGGGCUAAUACCGGAUAGGAGCUCCUGCUGCAUGGUGGGGGUUGGAAAGUUUCGGCGGUUGGGGAUGGACUCGCGGCUUAUCAGCUUGUUGGUGGGGUAGUGGCUUACCAAGGCUUUGACGGGUAGCCGGCCUGAGAGGGUGACCGGCCACAUUGGGACUGAGAUACGGCCCAG